rnacentral:rRNA from 1 species
CACGGGGGGAGCAAGCGUUGUUCGGAAUCACUGGGCGUAAAGGGCGUGUAGGCGGUCAAGUAAGUGGGAUGUGAAAUCCCUCGGCUCACCCGGAGGACCUGCAUCCCAAACUGCUUGGCUUGAGUAUGGGAGAGGAUGAGGGAAUUCCUGGUGUAGCGGUGAAAUGCGCAGAUAUCAGGAGGAACACCGGUGGCGAAGGCGGGUCUCUGGGCCGAUACUGACGCUGAGGAGCGAAAGCGUGGGGAGCGAACAGG